rnacentral:tRNA from 3 species
GCGGGCGUGGCGGAAUUGGUAGACGCGCUGGUUUUAGGUACCAGUGUCGCAAGACGUGGGGGUUCGAGCCCCUCCGCCCGCACCA